UACGUAGGGACCAAGCGUUGUUCGGAUUUACUGGGCGUAAAGGGCGCGUAGGCGGCAAUUUCAAGUCAUCUGUGAAAUCUCCGGGACUUAACUCGGAACGGUCAGAUGAUACUGCUUUGCUAGAGUACAGAAGGGGCAAUCGGAAUUCUUGGUGUAGCGGUGAAAUGCGUAGAUAUCAAGAGGAACACCUGAGGUGAAAGACGGGGUUGCCUGGGCUGAUACUGACGCUGGAGGCGCGAAAGCUAGGGUAGGCAAACGGGGA
rnacentral:rRNA from 1 species